rnacentral:rRNA from 1 species
UACGGAGGAUGCGAGCGUUAUCCGGAUUUAUUGGGUUUAAAGGGUGCGUAGGCGGGAUGCCAAGUCAGCGGUAAAAAUGCGGUGCUCAACGCCGUCGAGCCGUUGAAACUGGCGUUCUUGAGUGGGCGAGAAGUACGCGGAAUGCGUGGUGUAGCGGUGAAAUGCGUAGAUAUCAGGAGGAACACCGGCGGCGAAGGCGGCCUGCUGGACCGCGACUGACGUUGAGGCUCGAAAGCGUGGGGAGCGAACAGG